GUCAGACAGAGAUGAUAGGUGGUCAGACAGAGAUGAUAGAUGGUCAGACAGAGAUGAUAGGUGGUCAGACAGAGAUGAUAGAUGGUCAGACAGAGAUGAUAGGUGGUCAGACAGAGAUGAUAGGUGGUCAGACAGAGAUGAUAGGUGGUCAGACAGAGAUGAUAGAUGGUCAGACAGAGAUGAUAGGUGGUCAGACAGAGAUGAUAGGUGGUCAGACAGAGAUGAUAGAUGGUCAGACAGAGAUGAUAGAUGGUCAGACAGAGAUGAUAGGUGGUCAGAC